CUCUCCCUCCCCUCUUCACGUCCAAGAGGCUGGGCAUCCAUCUGGUGCUUGUCCAAGGUGUGGUGGCUUCCUAAUUAGAAGGCUGCAGAGAUUUAUCGAUAAGCUGCUGCUCCAACUUCAGAAGAUCUUUCAGAUCAGAUCCAGAUCUAAUUUUUGGAGCAAAGAUUCGUGAAGAGAAGAUGAUCCAAAUCCUACUUGAGUGGAUAUCGGUAGAGGU
rnacentral:lncRNA from 1 species